AUGAACGCUGGCGGCGUGCUUAACACAUGCAAGUCGAACGGGAAACCUUUUAUUGAAGCUUCGGCAGAUUUAGCUGGUUUCUAGUGGCGGACGGGUGAGUAACGCGUGGGUAACCUGCCUUAUACAGGGGGAUAACAGUCAGAAAUGGCUGCUAAUACCGCAUAAGCGCACAGAGCUGCAUGGCUCAGUGUGAAAAACUCCGGUGGUAUAAGAUGGACCCGCGUUGGAUUAGCUGGUUGGUGGGGUAACGGCCCACCAAGGCGACGAUCCAUAGCCGGCCUGAGAGGGUGAACGGCCACAUUGGGACUGAGACACGGCCCAGACUCCUACGGGAGGCAGCAGUGGGGAAUAUUGCACAAUGGGGCAAACCCUGAUGCAGCGACGCCGCGUGAAGGAAGAAGUAUCUCGGUAUGUAAACUUCUAUCAGCAGGGAAGAUAAUGACGGUACCUGACUAAGAAGCCCCGGCUAACUACGUG
rnacentral:rRNA from 1 species